rnacentral:lncRNA from 1 species
CUAGGAAUCCUCACUGAACUGUCUUUUUCUCUCAAGUUGUUUACCAAAAGAGUCAGGUAUUCUUAGUUGUUGCUAAAAGAAUCGUCAUUGUACUUCUUCCAUCCCUAAAGAGUCGUCACAACAUUUCUCAUCCCCAUAGAGUCAGAUUCGUCUUUGAACUCCCCCUUUUAAAAAAAAAAGAAAAAAGAAAAAAUAACAUGAGGUAUUUUGGGGUCAUUCCCCAAGCCGAUCCAAAUAUUUGUAACCCGACCUUUGAACACUUUUCCCCUAGCACAAGACAGGUAUUCCAACCUCUAAAAGGAAUUAUCAUUAAUAUGCUCUCCUCCCCAACUAAGGUCAGGUUUUUCUAGUCGUUGCUAGAAAUCAUCACUGAAUUAGUUGUCU